rnacentral:rRNA from 1 species
GUGGUUAAGUCCCGCAACGAGCGCAACCCUCAUUGUUAGUUACUACCAUUCAGUUGAGGACUCUAAUGAGACUGCCAACGACAAGUUGGAGGAAGUGGGGAUGACGUCAAAUCAUCAUGCCCUUUAUGACCUGGGCUACAAACGUACUACAAUGGCCAAUACAAAGAGAUGCGAAGCGGUGACGUGAAGCGAACCUCAGAAAGUUGGUCUCAGUUCAGAUUGAAGUCUGCAACUCGACUUCGUGAAGGCGGAAUCGCUAGUAAUCGCGGGUCAGCAGACCGCGGUGAAUACGUUCCCGGGUUUU